AUCAACAUUCAGAAAAUUCACAUAGUGGUAUCAUCACACAGACUAACUACUUUUGGAGUUCAAAAAGAAUCCCAGAGGACCUUCCAGUGGAUUUAACCACAGAAGUAAAGCCCAUUCCAGAACAUUUUGAACCUCAAGAAGUAGAGUGCCCAUACUGUCCUGGGCCAUCUCCGCCAAAUCUUGAAGACAGACUACUAAUCACCCGACAAGCAACUGUUUACGGCAUAUUCAAACAAUAUAAAGGUGUAUCUGUCUAUGCAAAAGAAUGUCCUGUCUGCAGAAACCUGGUCAGGUUUCAGGAAUAUAAGAGUGGGUUCCACAACUAUAACAACAGAGUGUUCCUGUCAAUCCCCUUAUGCUCUUUUCUGACGGCUGGAAUUUCAAAUCACAUUGCUGUGGGUCGCAUGAUCAGAACAAUGGAAUCCCAUUCCUGAUCUAAAUUGCCAGUCAAUACUUUAAGAAAGGCAUUUUACCAUUUCUGUGCGCUAAGACAGUACUCAUACGAUUUUUUUUGUUACCGAUGUGGACACCACCCAUCCAUUGUCAUAGCAGAUGCCAACUGGAAAGUUGCAUUCGAUUUACCAGUCAAUCUCAUGAGACGCCCAGACAUAGACAACAUCGGCCCCCAGGACACUCAGGCUAAUGUGGCAGCAAGAUGGGAGGACCUAGAAAAAGAGAUCAUUGCCACUGGAUUUUGUGAUGAUUUAUCUAACAACCCUUUCACAAGUCCGCUGACAUAUUCAGCAUUUGCACCUUGGAUGGGAAACACACCAGAGUUGAUGACAAGGUUCCAAAAACUGAAAUUAAUAAAGGUCUCUCUCAAAGUGAAAGGGUGAACUCUGCAUGCCGUGAAGGCCAGGAAGUUGAUGAAGACCAGAUUUUGCAAAUACUAGACUCAAGAUCGCACAAAAGAGAAGACCUGGUGAAGGCAUGCAAUUGUCUUGGAGUGUCUUCAACUGGCUCGAUAACAGACCUUAUAAACAGGCUGGAGGAACUUCUCCUUUAUAAGGAGAUUUACCCCAAAAUGUUUGUGAAGCUGAAGAAAGCUGGAGGUGGAGUGUUACAUAUGGGCUGCACCCAUCGUGUUGCAUAUUAUGCAUCACCAUUAUGGUGGCAGGAAUCUGCACGGGACCACGGGUAUGCUCUCCUAAGUUUUAAACAUCCACCCAAUGUGUACAUCUCUAACAUUGCUGGACGUGUUGCCAGACAUGUGAACAAUCGAACACAGCAGAGAUUCUUCCAGCCAAAUGAAGGACGGGUAUGUGCACCAACGGAAGCCAACAUAUCACUUGCAGGUGAAGGAAAGUUAACUGUAGAUCUUGAAUGGAUAAAGAACAUCAGAAGGAAACCAAGAUUUGCAGGAAAAGCCAAAGAAAUGGACAAGUUCUCAUAUCCACACCCUGAGACUGGGACAUCAGACCGGUACUCAUUGUAUGACAGAUUUCAUUAAAAAAAAACAGAAGCGCCCUGAAGAGAGACUACGCAGCCUUAAAGUGAUCCCAGACCUGGCUUCUCUGAUUAAUUCUGCAGCAGCAGAACAAAUAAACA